rnacentral:rRNA from 1 species
GACGAACGCUGGCGGCGUGCUUAACACAUGCAAGUCGAACGGAAAGGCCCUGCUUGCAGGGUACUCGAGUGGCGAACGGGUGAGUAACACGUGGGUGAUCUGCCCUGCACUUCGGGAUAAGCCUGGGAAACUGGGUCUAAUACCGGAUAGGAGCCAUUUUUAGUGUGAUGGUUGGAAAGUUUUUUCGGUGUAGGAUGAGCUCGCGGCCUAUCAGCUUGUUGGUGGGGUAAUGGCCUACCAAGGCGGCGACGGGUAGCCGGCCUGCGUGGGUGGACGGCCACAUUGGGACUGAGAUACGGCCCAGACUCCUACGGGAGGCAGCAGUGGGGAAUAUUGCACAAUGGGCGCAAGCCUGAUGCAGCGACGCCGCGUGGGGGAUGACGGCCUUCGGGUUGUAAACUCCAUUCGCUAGGGACGAAGCUUUUUGUGACGGUACCUAGAUAAGAAGCACCGGCUAACUACGUG